ACGAGACGGGAUGGAAUGACCCUUCGGGGGAAUGAAAUCCUAGAAAGUGGCGAACGGGUGAGUAACGCGUGGGUAACCUGCCCUAUGGAAAGGAAUAGCCUCGGGAAACUGGGAGUAAUGCCUUAUAAUAUACGAGAGUCGCAUGGCUUUUGUAUUAAACGCUCCGGUGCCAUAGGAUGGACCCGCGUCCCAUUAGCUAGUUGGUGAGAUAACAGCCCACCAAGGCAACGAUGGGUAACCGGUCUGAGAGGGCGAACGGUCACACUGGAACUGAGACACGGUCCAGACUCCUACGGGAGGCAGCAGUGGGGAAUAUUGCGCAAUGGGGGCAACCCUGACGCAGCAAUACCACGUGAGUGAAGAAGGUUUUCGGAUCGUAAAGCUCUGUUAUUGGGGAAGAAAAAAGACGGUACCCAAGAAGAAAGUCCCGGCUAACUACGUGCCAGCAGCCGCGGUAAUACGUAGGGGACAAGCGUUGUCCGGAUUUACUGGGCGUAAAGGGCACGCAGGCGGUUUUUUAAGUCAGAUGUGAAAGGUACCGGCUCAACCGGUGACAUGCAUUUGAAACUGAAAGACUUGAGUAUUGGAGAGGCAAGUGGAAUUCCUAGUGUAGCGGUGAAAUGCGUAGAUAUUAGGAGGAACACCGGUGGCGAAGGCGGCUUGCUGGACAAAUACUGACGCUGAGGUGCGAA
rnacentral:rRNA from 2 species